rnacentral:rRNA from 1 species
AUUGAACGCUGGCGGUAUGCUUAACACAUGCAAGUCGAACGGCAGCAGCAAUAGUGAAGGCAACGGAUCUAUUGGCUGGCGAGUGGCGGACGGGUGAGUAACGCGUAGGAAUCUAGCCUAGAGCGGGGGAUAACUCGAGGAAACUCGAGCUAAUACCGCAUAAACUCUACGGAGAAAAGAGGGCCUCUAUUUAUAAGCUCUCACUUUAGGAUGAGCCUGCGUCCGAUUAGCUAGUUGGUAGGGUAAAGGCCUACCAAGGCGACGAUCGGUAGCUGUUCUGAGAGGAAGACCAGCCACACUGGGACUGAGACACGGCCCAGACUCCUACGGGAGGCAGCAGUGGGGAAUAUUGGACAAUGGGGGCAACCCUGAUCCAGCAAUACCGCGUGUGUGAAGAAGGCCUGGGGGUUGUAAAGCACUUUUGUUGGGGAAGAGAGCUUUGUGGCGAAUAGCCAUGAGGGGAGACGUUACCCAAAGAAUAAGCACCGGCUAACUCUGUGCCAGCCGCCGCCGUAA